GAUGAACGCUAGCGACAGGCCUAACACAUGCAAGUCGAGGGGCAGCACAUGAGUAGCAAUACGAUGGUGGCGACCGGCGCACGGGUGAGUAACACGUAUGCAACCUGCCUUCUACUAUGGGAUAACCCGUUGAAAGACGGACUAAUACCGUAUAAUACAGGGGCUCCGCAUGGAGAUAUUUGUUAAAGAUUUAUUGGUAGAAGAUGGGCAUGCGUAUGAUUAGAUAGUUGGUGAGGUAACGGCUCACCAAGUCAACGAUCAUUAGGGGUUCUGAGAGGAAGGUCCCCCACACUGGUACGGAGACACGGACCAGACUGCUACGGGAGGCAGCAGUGAGGAAUAUUGGUCAAUGGACGAGAGUCUGAACCAGCCAAGUCGCGUGAAGGAAGACGGUUCUAUGAAUUGUAAACUUCUUUUGUGCAGGAAUAAAGUGGGUUACGUGUAACCUUUUGUAUGUACUGUACGAAUAAGGAUCGGCUAACUCCGUGCCAGCCGCCGCCGUAAAAC
rnacentral:rRNA from 1 species